UACGUAGGGUGCGAGCGUUAAUCGGAAUUACUGGGCGUAAAGCGUGCGCAGGCGGUUCGUUAAGUCAGAUGUGAAAGCCCCGGGCUCAACCUGGGAACUGCAUUGGUGACUGCAGGGCUAGAGUGUGUCGGAGGGAGGUGGAAUUCCGCGUGUAGCAGUGAAAUGCGUAGAGAUGCGGAGGAACACCGAUGGCGAAGGCAGCCUCCUGGGAUAACACUGACGCUCAGGCACGAAAGCGUGGGGAGCAAACAGG
rnacentral:rRNA from 1 species